UCUUGGCCAAGAGUAGCCCAGGGAUGGGUAACGUCCUGACAUGAACAAUAGCAUAGUAGGAUGGUAGAGCUGGGAAGGGGCCGGGGCCCUUGCUCAAACUUAGCCUAGGCCCUUAUAGGGCCGGUCAAAGCCUGCAUAGAGCCGAAGGGGCCUGGCCAGACCUAGGACUAUAGUCAGAUCCCCACCCUUAGGCCAUAUUUUGUGCCCCAGGUACUAGUUUUGGGGUGGGUUGUUCGACCCAUUGCCACCGCUAUGGGUGACCUUGCGGUAAGAGGAGUAAUUGCUGAAAAAUUGGAUGGGUGAAAUCGGAGCUCUAGGAUUUGGUUAUGGAGGAUUGAAUAAAACUAAAGUGAGAUAGGUGGAACUUUAUGUUUUUAGGCACCCUAUGCGCACUUUUUGAAGACUUUAUUUUGCCCCUUACUGAUAUAUAUCAAUUUUUUUAAAAAAGUAUCCAAGCAAAGCAGACCAUGGAAAACAGAAGAACUCAAAAGUUUUUUGUCGAUUCUUGCAUUGAAAAGGCAAACUUACGGAGCACCAAAGUUACGUCAAUGUAAAGAGAGGAAGUUGGCACGAGCUUUGGAGAAAUAAAGAGUAAACAUGUUUUUAGCCACGUUAUGAGCAUUCUUUCGAGACUGUAUUUUAUCCUUUUAUUAAUAUAUGUUUUUUCAAACGGUUUUAUGAUUUAGUUUUUUUAAAAUAUUAGUGGGGUGAUGUUAGUGGAAAUGAAAAUCACAAUGUAGAAAGUGAGGUGUGAGGGUACUAGCACGAAGGCCGUAGUUCUUUUUUCCCUAAAGCACCAGAGUUGCCUCAAUGGAAAAAGAGAAAGUGGGCAUGACCUUUGGACAAAUAUGGAGUAUGAAAGAGAAAACGUGUGAGAAGAAAAGACAUCUAAAGGGGUGAACAGUGACUUCUCAAAUUUCAUGACGCUUAAUAGGUACGGUGUUUUCCCAAAAUUCAUUAACCGUCAUGACAGUUAAUGGUUACAUGAGGUCCCCAACAUUUAUUAAUGCUCACCACAAUUCCAUUCCGACUAACACGGGUGCAGCACAUCGAUUCUCAUAAUCCACACAUGCACUCUCCUCUCCUCUCCUCUCCUCUGUGAGGAAGGUUCAUAGCAUGAGAGUGUUGUCAUAUAAAUGCCAUCCAUGCUUCAUUUUAAUUUUAUUCUUUGUUGUGGGAUUGAAAUGGAAUAUCUCAAAGCACGCUAUUUUGGUAAUUGAAAACUAUGGUCACUAGGGUGCUGGGGGUGCUGCCCAUGACCCAGCCCCUUUACCCAAACCACCAGAGUUAGCUUCAAUGUAAAGAGAGAAAGUGGGCACUACCUUUGAAGAAAUGGGGAGUAUGAAAGAGAAAACGUGUGAGAAAAGGAUGCCUAAAUGGGUAAACGGUGAUGGCUCUAUGUCGUUAUGGUGGUUUCGCAAAAUUCAUUAAGCAUCAUGACACUAAAUAGUCACACAGUUUCCAAGCAUGAUAUCUAAUACUCGUACCCUUCAACAACAGUGUGUAAUGCAUGCUCACCACAAGCUCAACUACCACAUGCUUUUGCGUGCUUCGCACAUGCACCCCAUCUCUUGCUCUGUGAGCAUAGCAUUAGUCAUGUAAAUGCCACUCUUGCUUUACUUUAUUCUUUAUUGUCG
rnacentral:lncRNA from 1 species